rnacentral:rRNA from 1 species
UGGGGAAUAUUGCACAAUGGGCGCAAGCCUGAUGCAGCCAUGCCGCGUGUAUGAAGAAGGCCUUCGGGUUUUAAAGUACUUUCAGUCGGGAGGAAGGUGGUAAGGUUAAUAACCUUAUCAAUUGACGUUACCGACAGAAGAAGCACCGGCUAACUCCGUGCCAGCAGCCGCGGUAAUACGGAGGGUGCAAGCGUUAAUCGGAAUUACUGGGCGUAAAGCGCACGCAGGCGGUUGAUUGAGUCAGAUGUGAAAUCCCCGGGCUUAACCCGGGGAUUGCAUCUGAUACUGGUCAGCUAGAGUCUUGUAGAGGGGGGUAGAAUUCCAUGUGUAGCGGUGAAAUGCGUAGAGAUGUGGAGGAAUACCGGUGGCGAAGGCGGCCCCCUGGACAAAGACUGACGCUCAGGUGCGAAAGCGUGGGGAGCAAACAGG